UUUUUACACUUGGCAUUUUCAGAUCAGAGAAACCAGAAGAUGACUAUUCUCUCUAUGAGACAGAGUCAGACUUGUCAAAGGACAUGCCUUUUAACUUCUCAAAUGAAAAGUAAGCGAAAUCUUUAUUUCUAAAACACUUUAUCUCCAACUCAUUCAGUUUUCUGUGCUGAACUUUUUCACCAUUUCUUUUUCUUGUCACAGAGAAAUAUCACGAGGCAUUCCUAAACACUGGGGAAAAACUGGAAUCGUGUCGUCUCGACAUGCAUUCAGGUCAGAGAAACCAGAAGAUGACUAUUCUCUCUUUGAGACAGAGUCAGACUUAUCAAAGGACAUGCCUUUUAACUUCGCAAAUGAAAAAGAAAUAUCACGAGGCAUUCCUAAAUACUGGGGAAAACCUGGAAUCGUGUCUUCUCAACAUGCUUUCAGAUUUCUAGAGCAAAGCCCUCCGUCUGCUGUAUAUGCUGCCUUAAAAACUGAGCACAGAACGCCCAAUGACAUGAUCCGCAGGUAUGAUUCAUUAAAAACAGUAUUUAAAGAGUAGAGGGUUAUUUAAA